UGCAGUCGAGGGGCAGCGCAGUGUAGCAAUACAUGGGCGGCGACCGGCAAACGGGUGCGGAACACGUACACAACCUUCCUUUUAGUGAGGAAUAGCCCGGGGAAACCCGGAUUAAUACCUCGUAAUAUUAUGAAGUGGCAUCACUUUAUAAUUAUAGCUCAGGCGCUAGAAGAUGGGUGUGCGGCUGAUUAGGUAGUUGGCGGGGUAACGGCCCACCAAGCCUACGAUCAGUAACUGGUGUGAGAGCACGACCAGUCACACGGGCACUGAGACACGGGCCCGACUCCUACGGGAGGCAGCAGUAAGGAAUAUUGGUCAAUGGACGCAAGUCUGAACCAGCCAUGCCGCGUGGAGGAUGAAGGUCCUCUGGAUUGUAAACUUCUUUUCUCUGGGGCGAAAAAAGGGCUUUCUAGCUCACUUGACAGUACCAGAGGAAUAAGCACCGGCUAACUCCGUGCCAGCAGCCGCGGUAAUACGGAGGGUGCAAGCGUUAUCCGGAUUCACUGGGUUUAAAGGGUGCGUAGGAGGGCAGGUAAGUCAGUGGUGAAAUCCCCGAGCUUAACUUGGGAACUGCCGUUGAUACUAUCUGUCUUGAAUAUUGUGGAGGUAAGCGGAAUAUGUCAUGUAGCGGUGAAAUGCUUAGAUAUGACAUAGAACACCAAUUGCGAAGGCAGCUUGCUACACAACUAUUGACUCUGAUGCACGAAAGCGUGGGGAUCAAACAGGAUUAGAUACCCUGGUAGUCCACGCCCUAAACGAUGGAUACUCGACAUCAGCGAUACACUGUUGGUGUCUGANCGAAAGCAUUAAGUAUCCCACCUGGGAAGUACGACCGCAAGGUUGAAACUCAAAGGAAUUGGCGGGGGUCCGCACAAGCGGUGGAGCAUGUGGUUUAAUUCNAUGAUACGCGAGGAACCUUACCUGGGCUAGAAUGNUGGGAGACCGUGNNGAAAGCUCACUUUGUAGCAUACACUG
rnacentral:rRNA from 1 species